rnacentral:rRNA from 1 species
AACGAACGCUGGCGGCAUGCCUAACACAUGCCAGUCGAACGAGACCUUCGGGUCUAGUGGCGCACGGGUGCGUAACGCGUGGGAACCUGCCCUUAGGUUCGGAAUAACUCCCCGAAAGGGGUGCUAAUACCGGAUAAUGUCUUCGGACCAAAGAUUUAUCGCCUUUGGAUGGGCCCGCGUUGGAUUAGCUAGUUGGUAGGGUAAAAGCCUACCAAGGCGACGAUCCAUAGCUGGUCUGAGAGGAUGAUCAGCCACACUGGGACUGAGACACGGCCCAGACUACUACGGGAGGCAGCAGUGGGGAAUAUUGGAAAAUGGGCGAAAGCCUGAUACAGCAAUGCCGCGUGAGUGAUGAAGGCCUUAGGGUUGUAAAGCUCUUUUACCCGGGAUGAUAAUGACAGUACCGGGAGAAUAAGCUCCGGCUAACUCCGUG